UGUAAUGUUGACUUCGGAUAUAUAUUCACCACUACUAGCGACACUCGGCAUCUUAAAUACACACAGGGGAACUCAGAGAAUGAUAUUUAGACCGAGGAUGGAAGAAACUCGUUUCCUCUGUUUUAGUUAAGACCAAAAGCUUCUUCACGACCGUUAUUGGUUUGUUUGUCGUGUGACACGUAUAUCACGUAUAGGAGGUGGCUUGACACGUACUGGCAGUGCGUAAAGUAAGACAGACUUACUCUGAGAAGUCUCAUUAUCCGAGUUAAUUUCAGUUUGUAAAAACGAGCAUGGAAGUGUUUCUGUUCUUCUCCACUCUUGUUUUUGGAUUCAUGGCAAGUGACGUCUUUAGUCGCUAUUCAAUUUAUACUUUCGCCGCGUGUAGAACUGACUCUUGUCGUAAUGGUGUGGGAGAUGCUUUGAUGGAGCUAGUGCAUUUAUUGGUGCGGCAUGCCUACGUGUGUAUUCUCGUAACCGUAUAACAGGUGAAUCCAUUGCAAGCAACGCGAGCAACCACAUGCACUGCACAGUUUCCAAUCCCCUCCGGCUCGUUUUGUGUCUACUUUUAUAGAAGUCAACACGCUAUCAAAUCAUGUUCCUCAGCGGCAAGGUGUUUAUGGAGAAUACAUAAGGGUUAUUAUUGACAGGAUAUUUUCGCCAAACAGUUGAUAAAAGUGAUUAAGAAACGGAAAUGACAAAUAGAUUGCAGAUUUUAUAUUAACGUAUAUUCAGAUGUGUUGAUUUAUUGUAGUUGCCAUCAGUUUGGAGAGAUAAAUAUAUUUGACUUGAAACUGUAUGUGUCUCAAUGUGUGUUAUAGCUGCCGAUACGAGUUAUUUAAUGUAUAAAAGAUGUAAAAACAAGACAGAUUAUAACCGAAUUCAGUUCCACCAUAGCUUUUAAUAUUUAAGUGUUAAUUUUCUACACUUCUUACAAUUGAAGCUC